AGGGGAAGCCAACCGAGCGGGCGCGUGAUCCCGCCGGACCCCGUUGCCGGCAACAACGCGUGAGGGGAUAAGGGCGUCCCUCCGGCGCCUCGGUCUCCUCCCACCUACUGCCGCACCCACUCGCCCACUUGCCCGCCAUCUCCCUCCUCUCGCUCGCUCCAUCUUGCCGAAAACGGCCGGGCGCCAUCGUCGCCGUCUCCGCGUCGAUUCCCCGGCCACCAGCCGCCCCGCGCCGCCUGGAGGCGUCCAGGAGGCCGGCUGUCGUCGUAUGCGUCGGUUCCCCCUUCGGUUCGAGCCCGGGAGCUCCCCUUCGCCGGAUCGGGCGGCUCCCUCCGCCUCGGCCUCCACCAUCCCGCCGCCCCAAGUCGUCGCAUCCAGUCGUCCCCGGCCCCGUACGAGCUCGCCAUCAGCCCUCCCGCGACCUCGAGACUGCUGCCGAUGCCCCUGUGAUCGACUACGUGGACGACGAUCCUCCUUCUUGUCUGAGCAACCAGAUGGUGGAUCCUUGGAGCCAGAUGCCACCGCCGACGGAUACUACUACAUGGAGGCCGCCGAAGACCAGGAGUAGUUAGGAGGUCCCAGGCGGGAGGCCUUGCCUUUUCGAUCGUGUUGCUUUUGUGCUAGCCUUCUUAAGGCAAAACUUGUUUAACUUAUGUCUGUACUCAGAUAUUGUUGCUUUCGCUGACUCUUGUGUAUCGAGCUUGUAUUCGAGCCCUCGAGGCCCCUGGCUUGUAA
rnacentral:rRNA from 1 species